GCCAGACUCCUACGGGAGGCAGCAGUGAGGAAUAUUGGUCAAUGGUCGGGAGACUGAACCAGCCAAGCCGCGUGAGGGAUGAAGGUACAGAGUAUCGUAAACCUCUUUUGUCAGGGAACAAAGGCGGGGACGUGUCCCCGGAUGAGUGUACCUGAAGAAAAAGCAUCGGCUAACUCCGUGCCAGCAGCCGCGGUAAUACGGAGGAUGCGAGCGUUAUCCGGAUUUAUUGGGUUUAAAGGGGGCGCAGGCGGCCUGUUAAGUCAGCGGUAAACGCCCGGGGCCCACCCCCGGCGAGCCGUUGAAACCGGAGCGCUAGAAUUCCGAUGCCGUCGGAGGAAUGUGUGGUGUAGCGGUGAAAUGCAUAGAUAUCACACAGAACACCGAUUGCGAAGGCAUCUGACGAAUCGGAGAUUGACGCUGAUGCACGAAAGCGUGGGUAUCGAACAGGAUUAGAUACCCCGGUA
rnacentral:rRNA from 1 species